rnacentral:rRNA from 1 species
UGGGGAAUUUUGGACAAUGGGCGAAAGCCUGAUCCAGCAAUGCCGCGUGUGAAGAAGGCCUUCGGGUUGUAAAGCACUUUUGUCCGGAAAGAAAUCCUUGGCUCUAAUACAGUCGGGGGAUGACGGUACCGGAAGAAUAAGCACCGGCUAACUACGUGCCAGCAGCCGCGGUAAUACGUAGGGUGCAAGCGUUAAUCGGAAUUACUGGGCGUAAAGCGUGCGCAGGCGGUUUGCUAAGACCGAUGUGAAAUCCCCGGGCUCAACCUGGGAACUGCAUUGGUGACUGGCAGGCUAGAGUAUGGCAGAGGGGGGUAGAAUUCCACGUGUAGCAGUGAAAUGCGUAGAGAUGUGGAGGAAUACCGAUGGCGAAGGCAGCCCCCUGGGCCAAUACUGACGCUCAUGCACGAAAGCGUGGGGAGCAAACAGGAUUAGAUACCCUGGUAGUCCACGCCCUAAACGAUGUCAACUAGUUGUUGGGGAUUCAUUUCCUUAGUAACGUAGCUAACGCGUGAAGUUGACCGCCUGGGGAGUAC